UACGAAGGGGGCUAGCGUUGUUCGGAAUUACUGGGCGUAAAGCGCACGUAGGCGGAUACUUAAGUCAGGGGGUGAAAUCCCGGGGCUCAACCCCGGAACUGCCUUUGAUACUGGGUAUCUCGAGUCCGGAAGAGGUGAGUGGAAUUCCGAGUGUAGAGGUGAAAUUCGUAGAUAUUCGGAGGAACACCAGUGGCGAAGGCGGCUCACUGGUCCGGUACUGACGCUGAGGUGCGAAAGCGUGGGAGCAAACAGG
rnacentral:rRNA from 1 species